CAGAGGUGGUGUGUGCGUGUAGUUUCGUGUUUGGCAGUUUUAGGGGGGCUUUGCCUUUUAACAACAUUUCGCGUCGCCCUUUUUCCACGUGUGUGCCAAGAUGUCAUGGAACAAUGGUAGCAACAUGAGAUACCGGAGUUCUGUUCAUCUCACGGAAAUUAAUCUUAUCUGAUUGAUACUAGUACAUUGCACGUACAGGAAAAUGAACAAAGAAUGGCAUAAAUAAUGCUCUUCACCACACCUUUCGAGCUGGGGCCAUUUCCUCAAGAAAUACCGAGCGAGGGAAGCCAUCCACUGGAGCAUCACACGUACUGUGACACCAUUGCUACAUGGAUGAGCAAGACAAAGAACAGGCGAUUGUACAAUUGCAGCUACUGUGGAAAAGUGUUCCCGCACAAGUAUGGCCUGGCCAAACACGUGCGUAUUCAUACCGGCGAGAGACCAUACUCCUGCCACCUCUGCCCUAUGACAUUCAACCAGAAAGAGAGCCUCACACGCCACUUACGAGAGCAUUCCGGUGACAAGCCAUUUCGUUGUUGCUUCUGCCCAAAGGCAUUCACCAGGCAGUAUUAUAAAAGAAGACAUGAGGCGGCACAUACAGGGUCUGCUUCUCGUAUUGUAAGGCCCAAUGUGUCUUAGCAACAUUCAUGAGAUGAGCAUUUGAUAAGUGGGUGUACAGCAGGUGUUUCAAACUGAGAAAAAAAGUAUAUUGUUUUGGGACCGAAGCAUGUCAUUUUGUUCAGUUUCACUUCCACUUUGCAGCAAUGGAAGUCUAGUGGCUUUUGAACCAGUUUGCUACACCAAACAGGUUCACAAACUGGUCUGGCACAGUAAACCUUACUUUUGACAAGUUGCAUAGUGCUGUCCACCAACUUAAGUGUGCUAAGCUGAAGCAGUGCAGGCAUCACUGCUCAAGCAACUGCGCUCGUAGUUUAACAGGACUUGGCUCGUAAUUUUCAAUUUAACUUUCUUUUCAUGUCCACUCGAGUGUUGCCCAAAUGCAUGGCGCAGGUGAAACAGUAGAGGUUCAUAUGAGUGUUCAAAGAGCUAAGUUUUCAAGGCAGGUUGAAUAGAAAUUUUAAAGAACUAUCAUUCAAUAUGAAUUGAAAUGAAAUAAAAAUUUAAGGCUGUACAAUGUUUAGCAACAAAUAACCCCACAUCAUUUCAUAUAUGUACAUCACGCGAUAAUGCAGGUUUAUGUAUGGUGAAGGAUCACAUUGAACAAUGAUGAAAUGAGUGAACAAAGAGAAAAAGAACAACAGAAAGAAACACAGAAACUGACUCUGCAGGUGACCGUGGCACAGUAUGUCCUCACAUGUCUAAAGCUAU